AAUGAAUGUUGGCGGCGUGGAUUAGGCAUGCAAGUCGUACGGGUCGGUGUAGCAAUACAACGGCAAGUGGCGAAAGGGAGAGUAACGCGUAGAUACCUACCCUCUGGUCGGGGAUACCGCGGCAUAACCGCAAGUAAUACCCGAUAAUAUCUCCGGAUCAAAGGUGUGAUUCCGCCGGAGGAGGGGUCGGCGUUUCAUCAGCUUGUUGGUGAGGUAACGGCUCACCAAGGCUAAGACGAAUACGGGGUGUGAGAGCAUGCCCCCGCUCACUGGGACUGAGACACUGCCCAGACACCUACGGGUGGCUGCAGUCGAGAACCUUCGGCAAUGGGCGCAAGCCUGACCGAGCGACGCCGCGUGCGGGAUGAAGGCCUUCGGGUUGUAAACCGCUGUCGAGGGGGAUAAAGUGCAGGUGGGUUCUCCCAUUUGUUUGAUAGAUCCCUGGAGGAAGCAUGGGCUAAGUUCGUGCCAGCCGCCGCCGUAAGAC
rnacentral:rRNA from 1 species